CCCACUCUCUAUUUGCCUCCAGAAAUUUUAAACAAAAAUUCUUCCACUUUUUGGCUUAACUUCAUCAUCGAUUGCUACCAAAACCUAAUUAAUUCAAUUUGCCUACCCUCAAAAUUUCUUGUGGAUCCCUUGGUUGCAAUCCCAAUCUCUUCAUUUGCCACAGUAUUGAUUUUUGGUCAAUAAAUUCCUGCAUAAUCUACUACGUACAGAUUGUGUUCUUCAAGCAGUCUUAAAGGUAUGCCUAUCGGCUUUGUUUUGAUUAAUUUUUCAGCUUUGUUUAAUUAGAUCUAGUGUUUCUACUGAUUUUUCUGAAAUUCGAAGAAUUUGUUUAAUAUGAACCAUUGGAUUUAUAUGACAGUUUUAAUCUUUAAUUAAUUAUUCAAAUAUAUCUUUUCUCAAACAUAAAUUUUACGUUUUUAAUGAUACUUGAUUAGUAUAGUUUUAAUCAUUUUCUUUUGUUUGCCCCACAAGUGCCUACAAAAUUGUUUUGUAUACAAAUAUUUUUCCUACAAAUAAUAACCUUUCCCUACAAAUAAAUUUUGUAGGGAAAACAUAAAAUUCUUGUAGUGUUGGUUAGAAUAUAGUAUUGAAAAGGAUGCUGCUUAUUAUUUGUGUUGCUAUUUUAUGCGAGAGGUGAAUUUUUCAUUUCAGAAGGAAUCUCUAAUUGAAAGAAAAAUAGACAGUCUUCUGGUUCAGGUAGGAAACUUCAAAAGUGCUCAUAAUCUAGUUUGGAGGAAGAUAGG
rnacentral:lncRNA from 1 species